rnacentral:rRNA from 1 species
UAAGACGGAGGGCGCAAGCGUUGUUCGGAUUUACUGGGCGUAAAGGGCAGGUAGGUGGUCUGUUAAGUCUUCUGUGAAAAUCCGGGGCUCAACCCCGCGAAAUGCAGGUGAAACUGGCAGACUGGAGACCGGUAGAGGCUAGCGGAAUUCCUGGUGUAGCGGUGGAAUGCGUAGAUGUCAGGAAGAACACCUGUGGCGAAGGCGGCUAGCUGGGCCGGUUCUGACACUAAACUGCGAAAGCGUGGGGAGCAAACAGGAUUAGAUACCCUGGUAGUCCACGCCGUAAACGAUGGGCACUAGAUGCCGGGCAUAUAGACGUGUUCGGUGUCGUCGCUAACGCAAUAAGUGCCCCGCCUGGGGAGUACGGUCGCAAGGCUG